CACGUAGGCGGAUUAGAAAGUUGGGGGUGAAAUCCCAGGGCUCAACCCUGGAACUGCCUUCAAAACUACUAGUCUAGAGUUCGAGAGAGGUGAGUGGAAUUCCGAGUGUAGAGGUGAAAUUCGUAGAUAUUCGGAGGAACACCAGUGGCGAAGGCGGCUCACUGGCUCGAUACUGACGCUGAGGUGCGAAAGUGUGGGGAGCAAACA
rnacentral:rRNA from 1 species